UACGGAGGGAGCUAGCGUUAUUCGGAAUUACUGGGCGUAAAGCGCACGUAGGCGGCUUUGUAAGUAAGAGGUGAAAGCCCGGAGCUCAACUCCGGAACUGCCUUUUAGACUGCAUCGCUUGAAUCCAGGAGAGGUGAGUGGAAUUCCGAGUGUAGAGGUGAAAUUCGUAGAUAUUCGGAAGAAACACCAGUGGCGAAGGCGGCUCACUGGACUGGUAUUGA
rnacentral:rRNA from 1 species